rnacentral:rRNA from 1 species
CACAGAGGUCUCGAGCGUUGUUCGGAUUCAUUGGGCGUAAAGGGCGCGUAGGCGGCGGGGUAAGUCGGGUGUGAAAUCUCGGGGCUUAACUCCGAAACUGCAUUCGAUACUGCCGUGCUUGAGGACUGGAGAGGAGACUGGAAUUUACGGUGUAGCGGUGAAAUGCGUAGAUAUCGUAAGGAAGACCAGUGGCGAAGGCGGGUCUCUGGACAGUUCCUGACGCUGAGGCACGAAGGUCAGGGGAGCAAACGGG